rnacentral:rRNA from 1 species
GACGAACGCUGGCGGCGUGCUUAACACAUGCAAGUCGAACGGAAAGACCCUGCUUUUGUGGGGUGCUCGAGUGGCGAACGGGUGAGUAACACGUGAGUAACCUGCCCUUGACUUUGGGAUAACUUCAGGAAACUGGGGCUAAUACCGGAUAGGAGCUCCUGCUGCAUGGUGGGGGUUGGAAAGUUUCGGCGGUUGGGGAUGGACUCGCGGCUUAUCAGCUUGUUGGUGGGGUAGUGGCUUACCAAGGCUUUGACGGGUAGCCGGCCUGAGAGGGUGACCGGCCACAUUGGGACUGAGAUACGGCCCAGACUCCUACGGGAGGCAGCAGUGGGGAAUAUUGCACAAUGGGCGGAAGCCUGAUGCAACAACGCCGCGUGCGGGAUGACGGCCUUCGGGUUGUAAACCGCUUUCGCCUGUGACGAAGCGUGAGUGACGGUAAUGGGUAAAGAAGCACCGGCUAACUACGUG